CACGUAGGAACCAAGCGUUGUCCGGAUUUAUUGGGCGUAAAGAGCUCGUAGGCGGUUCGGUAAGUCGGGUGUGAAAGCUCCGGGCUCAACCCGGAGAGGCCACCCGAUACUGCCGUGACUUGAGUCCGGUAGGGGAGCACGGAAUUCCUGGUGUAGCGGUGAAAUGCGCAGAUAUCAGGAGGAACACAGGUGGCGAAGGCGGUGCUCUGGGCCGGUACUGACCCUGAGGAGCGAAAGCGUGGGUAGCAAACAGG
rnacentral:rRNA from 1 species